GACCCGUUCGUCUAGCGGUUAGGACUCCGCCCUUUCACGGCGGCAACACGGGUUCGAGUCCCGUACGGGUUGCCA
rnacentral:tRNA from 1 species